rnacentral:tRNA from 1 species
GGGCGGUUAGCUCAGUCGGUUAGAGCGCAGCCUUCACACGGCUGAGGUCGGAGGUUCGAGUCCUCUACCGCCCA